rnacentral:rRNA from 1 species
UACGGGGGGGGCAAGCGUUGUUUGGAAUUACUGGGCGGAAAGGGCUCGUAGGCGGCCAACUAAGUCCGACGUGAAAUCCCCAGGCUUAACCUGGGAACUGCGUCGGAUACUGGAUGGCUUGAAUCCGGGAGAGGGAUGCGGAAUUCCAGGUGUAGCGGUGAAAUGCGUAGAUAUCUGGAGGAACACCGGUGGCGAAGGCGGCAUCCUGGACGGUUUCUGACGCUAAGACGCGAAAGCGUGGGGAGCAAACAGG